AUCUACCUUUCACAGAGGGAUAGCCCAGAGAAAUUUGGAUUAAUACCUCAUAGUAUAGUACCUUGGCAUCAAGGAACUAUUAAAGAUUUAUCGGUGAAAGAUGAGCAUGCGUCCCAUUAGCUAGAUGGUAAGGUAACGGCUUACCAUGGCUACGAUGGGUAGGGGUCCUGAGAGGGAGAUCCCCCACACUGGUACUGAGACACGGACCAGACUCCUACGGGAGGCAGCAGUGAGGAAUAUUGGUCAAUGGGCGCAAGCCUGAUCCAGCCAUGCCGCGUGCAGGAAGAAGGUCCUAUGGAUUGUAAACUGCUUUUAUACAGGAAGAAACACCUCUACGUGUAGAGACUUGACGGUACUGUAUGAAUAAGGACCGGCUAACUCCGUGCCAGCAGCCGCGGUAAUACGGAGGGUCCAAGCGUUAUCCGGAAUCAUUGGGUUUAAAGGGUCCGUAGGCGGCCAAAUAAGUCAGUGGUGAAAGCCCAUCGCUCAACGAUGGAACGGCCAUUGAUACUGUUUGGCUUGAAUUAUUAGGAAGUAACUAGAAUAUGUAGUGUAGCGGUGAAAUGCUUAGAGAUUACAUGGAAU
rnacentral:rRNA from 1 species